rnacentral:rRNA from 1 species
ACGGAGGAUGCGAGCGUUAUCCGGAUUUAUUGGGCUUAAAGGGCGCGCAGGUGGGAGAUUAAGUCAGCGGUGAAAGUUUGUGGCUCAACCAUAAAAUUGCCGUUGAAACUGGUUUUCUUGAGUAUGUUUGAGGUAGGCGGAAUGCGUGGUGUAGCGGUGAAAUGCUUAGAUAUCACGCGGAACUCCGAUUGCGAAGGCAGCUUACCAAACCAUAACUGACACUGAUGCGCGAAAGCGUGGGGAUCAAACAG